rnacentral:rRNA from 1 species
AUACGGAGGGUGCAAGCGUUAAUCGGAAUUACUGGGCGUAAAGCGCGCGUAGGCGGUUUGGUAAGUCGGAUGUGAAAGCCCCGGGCUCAAUCUGGGAAUUGCAUUCGAUACUGCCAGACUAGAGUAUGGUAGAGGGAAGUGGAAUUCCGGGUGUAGCGGUGAAAUGCGUAGAUAUCCGGAGGAACACCAGUGGCGAAGGCGACUUCCUGGACCAAUACUGACGCUGAGGUGCGAAAGCGUGGGGAGCAAACAGGAUUAGAAACCCCUGUAGUCC